GGAAGGCAAGCGUGUCCGGUGGCGCGGCUGGACUUCAAAUUCAGUUGGGGGCGGCAGCCGCUCCCGGGUAGGUUCGACUCCUACUGCCUUCCGCCA
rnacentral:tRNA from 1 species